GCUCCCGUCUUCUAAACGGUCAGGAUACCUGGCUCUCAACCAGGAAACGGCGGGUUCGAUUCCCCCCGGGAGCG
rnacentral:tRNA from 1 species